rnacentral:rRNA from 1 species
UGGGCACUCUGUGGAGACUGCCCGGGUUUAACCCGGGAGGAAGGUGGGGAUGACGUCAAGUCAUCAUGGCCCUUACGCCUAGGGCUACACACGUACUACAAUGGUGGGUACAAAGGGCAGCAAAACCGCGAGGUCGAGCGAAUCUCAAAAACCCAUCAUAGUCCGGAUUGCAGUCUGCAACUCGACUGCAUGAAGUUGGAAUCGCUAGUAAUCCCGGAUCAGCAUGCCGGGGUGAAUACGUUCCCGGGCCUU